rnacentral:rRNA from 1 species
UAGUCCACGCUGUAAACGAUGUUCACUCGCUGUUUGCGAUAUAUUGUAAGCGGCCAAGCGAAAGCAUUAAGUGAACCACCUGGGGAGUACGAUCGCAAGGUUGAAACUCAAAGGAAUUGACGGGGGCCCGCACAAGCGGAGGAACAUGUGGUUUAAUUCGAUGAUACGCGAGGAACCUUACCUGGGCUUAAAUGUAGAUUGCAUGAUGUGGAAACACACUUCCCUUCGGGGCUAUCUACAAGGUGCUGCAUGGUUGUCGUCAGCUCGUGCCGUGAGGUGUCGGGUUAAGUCCCAUAACGAGCGCAACCCCUAUCGUUAGUUGCUAGCAGGUAAUGCUGAGGACUCUAGCGAGACUGCCACCGUAAGGUGAGAGGAAGGUGGGGAUGACGUCAAAUCAGCACGGCCCUUAUGUCCAGGGCUACACACGUGUUACAAUGGUCGGUACAAAGGGCAGCUACCUGGUGACAGGAUGCUAAUCUCUAAAGCCGAUCUCAGUUCGGA